rnacentral:lncRNA from 1 species
CAACGGAGAGUGGCCAUUACUGCGGGGGCCACAGUCCUUCAUAGAAAGAAUCCGCAGUCUUGCGGCCAACCAAAUCGGCUGGUAACAUGUUCCAUUCGGCAAUCGCUUGUGGGAAAAACGAAUGUUUAAAGAAAUCAGUUCUGGGGGUGUAUGACCGUACUUUAAAUUUGUGGCCAUGACGAGAGG